UACAGAGGUCUCGAGCGUUGUUCGGAUUCAUUGGGCGUAAAGGGCGCGUAGGCGGCGGGGUAAGUCUGGUGUGAGAUCUCGGAGCUCAACUCCGAAAUUGCACUGGAUACUGCUCUGCUAGAGGGCUGGAGAGGAGAUCGGAAUUCACGGUGUAGCAGUGAAAUGCGUAGAUAUCGUGAGGAAGACCAGUGGCGAAGGCGGGUCUCUGGACAGUUCCUGACACUGAGACACGAAGGCCAGGGGAGCAAACGGG
rnacentral:rRNA from 1 species